UUCACUUUCAUCCUUAAAUUUUUUUCCUCCCAAUUCCGUCCUUCAACCCUCGAAAAUAUAUUCCAUUUUCCCUUGAAUGAUUCCCACCACACUUCACACUUCAGGUAAACCCUAAAUUCGACCGAUAUGACCACUUGAUUUGCCUACUCUGGCUUAAUCUUGAAACAAUCAUGAUUUUCAUGGGUCAAGACAGAGAAAUCACAUCAAUGAAGACGACAUAUUGUAUCUACUUUCUCUGAGACCUUUUAACAAACACAUUUUUUGCAGCCUCUAAGGGUGUUUCUCCAGUCACAGAAAGUGACACGUUUUUUCCUCCACUGAAGCACUAUUUGCCUCGUGCGUCAAUGUUAAAAGAUGCUGGCAAUUAUCUUGUAGAUUGAAGUUGCAUGUGCAUAGCUCAUGUCUGGUGAGAAACUAGAGAACCAUAUAGAUAUGUCAAGAACAUCCUUGUUGACAUGGGGAUUUACUUUCAAGUACAGGUAAGUUUCUUUUCAGUAUCAUAAAUUAAAGUCCAUAUUAUAUAUCAUUUAGUUCUCUUUAUAAUUUUUUGUUUGUUGUUAGCUGUGUUACUUUCAAAGUUUAAAAAGCUUGUGUAGUUUUGGUGCAAGAAAUUCAUCUCCUUGAAUGUUUCGAGUUGAUUCUAUAUGGCAAAAUUCAAAGCCCUCUACAAGGAGCUUAAUCUUGAGGGUGUAUUUGCUGAGUAUGAGAGGCAAAGCUACGAGAAACUCGUAACUUCCAUAGAAGCCCAUGCAAGCAAGGCAGCGCAAGCAUUGUAGAAGUCCUUUUUGGCUAAGAUACACAAGAGACAGAAGUAGAUAAUCGAUUAGAAUUUGGUGAAGGUUGGACUAGGUCGAAAAAGAACCUCACUUUCUGAUAUGUU